UACAGAGGUCUCGAGCGUUGUUCGGAUUCAUCGGGGCGUAAAGGGUGCGUAGGUGGCGGCUGUAAGUCGGGUGUGAAAUCCUGAGGCUUAACCUCGGAACUGCAUUCGUAUACUGCGGUGCUUGAGGACUGGAGAGGAGACUGGAAUUCAUGGUGUAGCAGUGAAAUGCGUAGAGAUCAUGAGGAAGACCAGUGGCGAAGGCGGGUCUCUGGACAGUUCCUGACACUGAGGCACGAAGGCCAGGGGAGCAAACGGG
rnacentral:rRNA from 1 species